rnacentral:rRNA from 1 species
GCAAGUCGAACGUGAAGGUUGAGAUGCUUACUUCGGUUUUAAUCUUGAUUGGAAAGUGGCGAACGGGUGAGUAACACGUAGGUGAUCUGCCUCAAAGUGGGGGAUAACCAUUAGACAUGAUGGCUAAUACCGCAUAGUUCUGUUGGUAUGGGAAUAUUUACAGGUAAAGCUCUGGCGCUUUGAGAGGAGCCUGCGUCCGAUCAGCUAGUUGGUGGGGUAAUGGCCCACCAAGGCGACGACCGGUAGCUGGUCUGAGAGGACGAUC